AGAGCCAGAAAACCAUGACUUGCAGCAAAGUUGGGUUCCAAGGCACUGGAGGCACAGCCAAGGCAAGCUCAAAUGGGCAAAACAGACCAGCACGGCGAACCCUGUGCCAGCAGCCACCAGAAUGGGGAACUACUAGUUGCUUUCAGAAGUCCAGCAAGCAGAACCUGUCCCCUACCCGAGCUUUCCUCUGCCCUGGGAUGAAGUGCAUUUUUCUGCUUGGUCCCUAUGAACAUGGAAUUCCUAACACAAAAAAAGAAAAUGCCAGUGACCCACCUCUUUACCAUCAAUCAUCAUCAUUUCAGAAGCACAAUUUGUCUUCUAAAAACACAAUUUAUUGGUUUUGUUAUUAAGGUAAACGACAUACAUUAGUUUCAGGUGUACAACAUAUACAAACAUGGAAUAUAACAAUUUAUUGAGUUUUAUUCAUUUCCCUAAGAACAUAUGCAGUGACGGAAAUGUAGAAUACAGGAAAUCCUAAAAAGGGAUGUGAAAAAUGUAACCAUACUCCCACUUCCCAGAGGCAAAUAGUGCCCUUUGGUUUAGAAGAGGAGGGCAUAGGAGGGAGGCUGACUCAGCAAGCCUGGACUGCACCUGGAAAGCUCUUAUGUUUUAAAGUGCAUUAUUCUCAUGCACUCUGGCGAUUCUCAUGAUGCGCCAUGUUUGGAAGCAGCCAUCCAGGGAGGGAAGCCCGAGAGCGGAACCCGAGCUCCUUCCAUGGACUGGAAGGCUAGCUUCGUGGAGCGAGCUGUUUUCACUUCCAGCCUGAAGAAACAAAGAGAGAUGGAAGAAAAUGUGGUACUUGGAUGAAGUUCAAAAUCAUAUAAUUCUAGAGUUUGAAUAUACCAUAGGGAUCAUCAAGUCAAAAGCACUCACUCAAUGAGUGAGGGGACUGAGGACGAGGCGAAUGUGUCAUGACAUUAUUAAAACACAAAACAAAAGAAAACCUCCUCACUGGAAUUAAAAACAAAUGGUGUCUGUUCUAAUGAAAUGGUAAUAAAAGCUUUGAUUUUUAUGUAAGAACUCAUUUUUUCAUGACAAACCUAAGCAAAUAUUUAUCCCCAAAAUGCAAAUGCUAACUCUUAUGAGAACUAUCCCCAGGACUACUUAGAAGUUCCUGAAUUGUAUUUUGUGAACUAACAGACAACAAUAUUCAUGUAUGAACCAAAUCCUAUCUGUGAGGAAUAAGCCAAAAUAUAUUGUAUACUUCAUGGAGAUCCAGAGACCCAAAGAGGAGCUAUAAUGGUGUUGCUCUAGGUGAAAAUACAAAGAUACAUGAACUCACUCAGAGGAUAUAAAAGACUUCUUAAAUAAAUGGGAUAAAGGUGUUUCUAGUGAAGAUAUUGUUUUGAUAGAAAUUUUUUAACCAUGCAGAAAAAUGUUGCAUGCCUCAUACAGCUAAAAGUUGUGCAUCUCAUGAAUUUUUGAGUUGCCGAUAAAUAUUAAAAGACUGUCAACAGAAAAAAGGAAGUGGUGAUAACUACAAGUGGAGACAGACUAACUUCGUUUCCUUUAGGUAGACAUAGCAGAUUGGUAGAUUAGUAGACUGUUGGAAACUUCCUGUAUCUGUAUUUUAGCAAGGCAGUUAUUAAAUGAUGAUUUGGACUGACACACUGAAGAAAUAUGGAUUGGUCGAUAAUGCAAAUAAACAUAAACACUUAACCUCAGUGACAGGUGCUAGUUAAAGGUUACUGACAUCCUAGAGGCCAAUCUCUAUGGCACUGCUCUUAAUACAUUUUCAGUUCCUUGGAAAAGGUAAUAUAUAGACAGAUAAGUCAAUAGGUAGGUAGGUUGAUAAAUAGAUAACCCCACAGUUUCACUUAACUGUAAGCCCAGUGCAAGUCAGUGGUGUGACACAGUUGUACAUAAAGCAGCUGCAGUUGGCCACAGGAAUGUGGAGGAUAUAUAACAAGGACAAGGGCGGUCAUAGA